rnacentral:rRNA from 1 species
CCUACGGGUGGCAGCAGUGGGGAAUAUUGGACAAUGGGCGCAAGCCUGAUCCAGCCAUGCCGCGUGGGUGAUGACGGCCCUAGGGUUGUAAAGCUCUUUUACCCGGGAAGAUAAUGACGGUACCGGGAGAAUAAGCCCCGGCUAACUUCGUGCCAGCAGCCGCGGUAAUACGAAGGGGGCUAGCGUUGUUCGGAACCACUGGGCGUAAAGCGCACGUAGGCGGAUCUUUAAGUCAGGGGUGAAAUCCCGGGGCUCAACCCCGGAACUGCCUUUGAUACUGGAGAUCUCGAGUUCGGGAGAGGUGAGUGGAACUGCGAGUGUAGGGGUGAAAUUCGUAGAUAUUCGCAAGAACACCAGUGGCGAAGGCGGCUCACUGGCCCGAUACUGACGCUGAGGUGCGAAAGCGUGGGGAGCAAACAGGAUUAGAUACCCGUGUAGUC